CUUGGUCAUUUAGAGGAAGUAAAAGUCGUAACAAGGUCUCCGUUGGUGAACCAGCGGAGGGAUCAUUACUGAGUUAUCAAAACUCCAACCCUUUGUGAACCUUACCGUCGUUUCCUCGGCGUACUGCUGCGGCUACCCUGCAAAGGGUUUGCCCUGUAGGUGGCUGCUUACCCUGUAGGUAGUUACCCUGCACCGGCUCUGGCCGCAGCAGCGCCGGAAGGACCGUUCGAAACUCUUUUUCUUUCCAAUUCUACGUGGGUGUGCCCCUUCGUAACUCGCUCGAAUUUUCUCUUCGUAUUUGCUCCAAUAUCGGGUGGUCAGGGUUGGGUCUCCAAAAACUUAGCUCGAACUGCUUGAACUAACAAACUCGAAUUGUCUUUCUUGUAGUGGUGUGUCCUACGUGGAAUAAUCGCUCGAAAUCUUUUUUUUUCUGUAGUGUUGUUUUGCGUGGAAUAAUCCAUCGAAUUGUCUUCUUGUAGUGGUGUGUCCUACGUGGAAUAAUCGCUCGAAAUGUCUUUUUUUGUAGUGGUGUGUCCUACGUGGAAUUAUAACUCGCUCGAAUAUCCUUUUCUCUUGUAGGAAGGGGCGUACCUACGUGGAAACGAAAUGCUUCAAAUAUGAUUUACAAAAACAAUAGUUUAAAACUUUCAACAACGGAUCUCUUGGUUCUGGCAUCGAUGAAGAACGCAGCGAAAUGCGAUAAGUAAUGUGAAUUGCAGAAUUCAGUGAAUCAUCGAAUCUUUGAACGCACAUUGCGCCCAUUAGUAUUCUAGUGGGCAUGCCUAUUCGAGCGUCAUUUCAACCCUUAAGCCCUGUUGCUUAGCGUUGGGAGCCUACGGCUUAGGCCGUAGCUCCUUAAAAUCAGUGGCGGAGUUGUAGCACACUCUAAGCGUAGUAAUUUACGCCUCGCUUCAAGAGUUGCUGCGGCUGCCUGCCGUAAAACCCCCUAUAUUUCUAAUGGUUGACCUCGGAAUAAGGUAGGAAUACCCGCUGAACUUAAGCAUAUCAAUAAGCGGAGGA
rnacentral:rRNA from 1 species